CGCGUGGUGGUGUUUUUGGGAUCAGGUUGUAUUUGUGUUGGUGGUGUUUGUAGGGUUUGGUGUUGGUUGGUGAGAUAGAAGCGGAGCAGAUGGUGGUGGAGUAGUGUCCGCUAGCGCGGAGUAGCGGUGAAUAGUGGAUUAACAAAAUGAAAAGAGCAAUGGAGGAUAUGACGAGCGUCCGAGCAACAGAGCAGCAAAACAGCCACAAGACAACAGAACAGGUACGACGGUGCAGAGAUGAUAAUAAGUAACAGAACAGUAAUAACGUAACGUAACGUAACAACCAAACAUGUCAACAUCGAGGGCCUCAGCCAGGUCGGGCGGGGGUUCCCUGGUGAAGUCCAUGGUCCCGGUCCUCCCGACCGAGCCGGAGUUCCAGAACAGAAUAUAACACUCAUGUUAAUCAUGUUAAUUACAUAUCACGCAUGACGGCGCGAGGGGAGUAAGGAGGGUAGCAGCGGGUAGGCACCUGUCCCGAGGACGGCGUCUGGAGAUACGAGGACACAUCGGGCUCCACCAUGCAGCUGCGCAACGUGUCGGGGAUGAACAUUCCUCAGGUCACGUCACCGUCACCGGCGGGCGGCGCGCACCGGUCCGGGUCCCAUCACCAGAAGAGAACUAGUGCUACCAGCAGCCUCCUCCUCAUUGAUUGCCUAAUGCGCACUGCGGACGCGGACGCGGGCACCGUCCGCAGCCUCUGCUCUUGCUCUUGCUCUUGCUCGUCCUCGGCCUCUUCUUGUGCUUGGCGACGAUUCCAACUCACUCAUCACUAGUCCCACACAUGCCACCUCGAGCUCCGCGAACGUCUACAUCAGCCGUCCGCACGUUGCACGUACCCAACACCUAGCAAA